GACGUAGGGGCGAGCGUUGUCCGGAAUUACUGGGCGUAAAGAGCUCGUAGGCGGUCCGUUAAGUCGGAAGUGAAAUCUCAAGGCUCAACCUUGAAAUUGCUUUCGAUACUGGCGGACUUGAGGCAGGUAGGGGAAGGUGGAAUUCCUGGUGUAGCGGUGAAAUGCGCAGAUAUCAGGAGGAACACAGGUGGCGAAGGCGGCCUUCUGGGCCUGUUCUGACGCUGAGGAACGAAAGCGUGGGGAGCAAACAGGAUUAGAUACCCUGGUAGUCCCUGA
rnacentral:rRNA from 1 species